rnacentral:rRNA from 1 species
GAUGAACGCUAGCGGCAGGCUUAACACAUGCAAGUCGAGGGGUAACGCCACUUUCGGGUGGGCGACGACCGGCGCACGGGUGCGUAACGCGUAUGCAACCUACCUAUUACAGGGGGAUAGCCCCGAGAAAUCGGGAUUAAUACCUCAUGGUAUAUAAUUAAGGCAUCUUGAUUAUAUUAAAGAUUUAUCGGUAAUAGAUGGGCAUGCGUAACAUUAGCUAGUUGGGGAGGUAACGGCUCACCAAGGCGAUGAUGUUUAGGGGUUCUGAGAGGAAUUUCCCCCACACUGGUACUGAGACACGGACCAGACUCCUACGGGAGGCAGCAGUGAGGAAUAUUGGUCAAUGGACGGAAGUCUGAACCAGCCAUGCCGCGUGCAGGAAGACGGCCUUAUGGGUUGUAAACUGCUUUUAUACGGGAGUAAAGGUACGUACGUGUUACGUAUAAGCAAGUACCGUAUGAAUAAGCAUCGGCUAACUCCGUGCCAGCAGCCGCGGUAAUACGGAGGAUGCGAGCGUUAUCCGGAAUCAUUGGGUUUAAAGGGUUCGCAGGCGGUUUAAUAAGUCAGUGGUGAAAUACAUGGGCUCAACCCGUGGGUUGCCAUUGAUACUGUUAAGCUAGAGUAUAGUUGGCGUAGGCGGAAUAUUUCAUGUAGCGGUGAAAUGCAUAGAUAUGAAAUAGAACACCGAUCGCGCAGGCAGCUUGCGAAGCUAUAACUGACGCUCAUGAACGAAAGCGUGGGUAGCGAACAGGAUUAGAUACCCUGGUAGUCCACGCAGUAAACGAUGAUUACUCGUUGUCGGCGAUACACAGUCGGUGGCUAAGCGAAAGUGAUAAGUAAUCCACCUGGGGAGUACGAUCGCAAGGUUGAAACUCAAAGGAAUUGACGGGGGCCCGCACAAGCGGAGGAGCAUGUGGUUUAAUUCGAUGAUACGCGAGGAACCUUACCCGGGCUUAAAUGUAUGGUGCAUUUAGUGGAGACACUAAUUUCUACGGACUCCAUACAAGGUGCUGCAUGGUUGUCGUCAGCUCGUGCCGUGAGGUGUCGGGUUAAGUCCCAUAACGAGCGCAACCCUUACCAUUAGUUGCUAACAGGUCAAGCUGAGGACUCUAGUGGGACAGCCUACGCAAGUAGAGAGGAAGGGGGGGAUGACGUCAAAUCGGCACGGCCCUUACGUCCGGGGCUACACACGUGCUACAAUGGUAGGUACAGGGGGCAGCGACUAUGUGAGUAGGAGCGAAUCUCUAAAGCCUAUCUCAGUUCGGAUUGGAGUCUGUAACUCGACUCCAUGAAGUUGGAUUCGCUAGUAAUCGCGCAUCAGCCAUGGCGCGGUGAAUACGUUCCCGGGCCU